rnacentral:rRNA from 1 species
AUGAACGCUGGCGGCGUGCCUAAUACAUGCAAGUCGAGCGCACGGACGAGAAGCUUGCUUUUCUGAUGUUAGCGGCGGACGGGUGAGUAACACGUGGAUAACCUACCUAUAAGACUGGGAUAACUUCGGGAAACCGGAGCUAAUACCGGAUAAUAUUUUGAACCGCGUGGUUCAAAAGUGAAAGACGGUCUUGCUGUCACUUAUAGAUGGAUCCGCGCUGCAUUAGCUAGUUGGUAAGGUAACGGCUUACCAAGGCAACGAUGCAUAGCCGACCUGAGAGGGUGAUCGGCCACACUGGAACUGAGACACGGUCCAGACUCCUACGGGAGGCAGCAGUAGGGAAUCUUCCGCAAUGGGCGAAAGCCUGACGGAGCAACGCCGCGUGAGUGAUGAAGGUCUUCGGAUCGUAAAACUCUGUUAUUAGGGAAGAACAUAUGUGUAAGUAACUGUGCACAUCUUGACGGUACCUAAUCAGAAAGCCACGGCUAACUACGUG